rnacentral:rRNA from 1 species
GAUGAACGCUGGCGGCGUGCUUAACACAUGCAAGUCGAGCGAAGCGCUUACGACAGAACCUUCGGGGGAAUAUGUAAGGGACUGAGCGGCGCACGUGUGAGUAACGCGUGGGUAACCUGCCUCAUAUAGGGGGAUAACAGUUGGAAACGGCUGCUAAUACCGCAUAAGCGCACAGUAUCGCAUGAUACGGUUUGAAAAACUCCGUUGGUAUGGGAUGGACCCGAGUCUGAUUAGCUAGUUGGAGGGGUAACGGCCCACCAGGGCGACGAUCAGUAGCCGGGAUGAGAGGGUGAACGGACACAUUGGGACUGGGACACGGCACAGACUCCUACGGGAGGCAGCAGUGGGGAAUAUUGCACAAUGGGGGAAACCCUGAUGCAGCGACGCCGCGUGAAGGAAGAAGUAUCUCGGUAUGUAAACUUCUAUCAGCAGGGAAGAAAAUGACGGUACCUGACUAAGAAGCCCCGGCUAACUACGUG